rnacentral:misc_RNA from 1 species
ACAUGUCUUCAGCAACAGGGCCUGAAUAAGCAAAUCAACAAAGAGAAUCAGAUGAAAGAAAUUGUUGCAAAAGGCAACCUAAAAACACCCGUCCACAUCUAUAUCUAUAUUUACAUCUAUAUUUUGGCAAAGGGAAAAAAUCUAUAUCUAAUUCUGUAUAAAAAAUUAUUAUAAAACUAAGCUCUAAAAUAGGCUCACUACGUGCUGCCAUAUGGUGCUUUGUUAUGAUGCCGUCUGGUGCUCUAUCAUGCCUUCAUAAUAUUUUACCCUUAUUUCCUCUACAUUUUUAGCCCCAGUUUUCUCAAGGUUCUUUACUCCCACCAAGUUAUCUGGUUUCAGUUACUAUAUUUUCUAGCAUUUGUCUUCCCGCAAUGUUUUUAACUCUCCAACAAGUUUUAUGUUUUCAGUUAUUAUGGCUUCCCCUUUCAUCUUUCAACCCAUUCCAAUUCCACAUUUCUUAUCUUUGUGUUACAACAAAAAUCCUUCCAAUUGCCAUGAAAGUUCCAACUCUUUAUGUUA